GCACGAAGAAAGGGGAGCAAACCUGAGUAAAGUGGCGCACGGGUGAGUAACACGUGAAUCAUCUACCUCCGAGUGGGGAAUAACUGAGAGAAAUCUUAGCUAAUACCGCAUAACACUUACGAGUCAAAGCAGCAAUGCGCUUGGAGAGGAGUUCGCGGCCGAUUAGUUAGUUGGCGGGGUAAUGGCCCACCAAGACGAUGAUCGGUAUCCGGCCUGAGAGGGCGCACGGACACACUGGAACUGAAACACGGUCCAGACUCCUACGGGAGGCAGCAGUGGGGAAUUUUGCGCAAUGGGGGAAACCCUGACGCAGCAACGCCGCGUGGAGGAUGAAAUAUCUUGGUAUGUAAACUCCUUUCGAUGGGGAAGAUUAUGACGGUACCCAUAGAAGAAGCCCCGGCUAACUUCGUGCCAGCAGCCGCGGUAAUACGAGGGGGGCAAGCGUUGUUCGGAUUUAUUGGGCGUAAAGGGUGCGUAGGCGGUUUGGCAAGUCUGAUGUGAAAUCUAUGGGCUCAACCCAUAGUCUGCAUCAGAAACUGCCGGGCUUGAGUAUGGGAGAGGUGAGUGGAAUUUCCGGUGUAGCGGUGAAAUGCGUAGAUAUCGGAAGGAACACCUGUGGCGAAAGCGGCUCACUGGACCAUAACUGACGCUGAUGCACGAAAGCUAGGGGAGCAAACAGGAUUAGAUACCCUGGUAGUCCUAGCCCUAAACGAUGAUUGGCUGGGUGUGGCAGGUACCCAAUCCUGCCGUGCCGAAGCUAACGCGAUAAGCAAU
rnacentral:rRNA from 1 species